rnacentral:lncRNA from 1 species
CUUACCAGUGACAAUGGCUUGAACAAAGAAUCCAAACAUAGAGAACAUAGCCAAUCUUCCGUUCUUGAUCUCCUUCACCUUCAACUCGGCGAAAGCCUCUGGGUCGGUAGCAAGGCCCAAUGGGUCGAAGCUGCCUCCUGGGUAUAGCAAGUCCUCUGCUUCUCCCAAUGGUCCCUCUCCGGCGACUCUGUAACCCUCAACAGCUCCCAUGAGGAUCACCUGAGUGGCCCAAAUGGCUAAGAUGCUCUGAGCGUGGACUAAGCCCGGGUUGCCCA